CCUACGGGAGGCAGCAGUAGGGAAUAUUGCUCAAUGGGGGAAACCCUGAUGCAGCGACGCCGCGUGAGUGAAGAAGUAAUUCGUUAUGUAAAGCUCUAUCAGCAGGGAAGAAAAUGACGGUACCUGAGUAAGAAGCCCCGGCUAACUACGUGCCAGCAGCCGCGGUAAUACGUAGGGGGCAAGCGUUAUCCGGAUUUACUGGGUGGAAAGGGAGCGUAGACGGCAGUGCAAGUCUGGAGUGAAAGGCGGGGGCUUAACCCCCGGACUGCUCUGGAAACUGUACGGCUGGAGUGCAGGAGAGGUAAGUGGAAUUCCUAGUGUAGCGGUGAAAUGCGUAGAUAUUAGGAGGAACACCAGUGGCGAAGGCGGCUUACUGGACUGUAACUGACGUUGAGGCUCGAAAGCGUGGGGAGCAAACAGGAUUAGAUACCCCAGUAGUC
rnacentral:rRNA from 1 species